AUUCCUGGGUCAGACUGGGUUCAUUUUCAGGCUCUGCCCUUUGCCCAGGGACCCCAGGGCUCUGGGUGCACCCUGCUCAGCCCAGCACGGCCCAGCUGCUGCCCCAGUGCCCCAGCCUGGCACAGGCACUUAUCCCAGGGGUGCUGCACAUCUGGCUCCUCCUGGGAAAAUAAAAUUGCACCAGGCAAAGCCUCACUGAAGGGUUUAUCCCAACGUUUAAGUGAAAAACUUGGCCAGGGUAAACUUCUCUUUCAUUAAUCUAAAAGGUUUUUUCCUCCCUGAAAAGAGAACAUUAAAAUCCAUGCAAAAAUCUGUGAACUACAGGGAUGUUGUGGUAUCAGUGCAGUGUGGGAAAAUGCUGCCAGCUCUUCCAGCUUAUAUAUUUUAUAAUAUUUUUCUAUUUUAGCAAUAUUCCAGUGGCUUUUCCCAUUCUGGGGAGUGCAGGGGCGCAGCUCCCCCAGGGAAAUGGGGUGUGAGGGCAGGAGGUGCCUGCCUGGGGCAGGAUCCAGUGCUGACAUCCCUGUUUUUCCUGCCCAGUUUUGUGUGAGGAUAGAGAAGAAUCCUGGCCUUGGCUUUAGUAUCAGUGGUGGAAUAAGCGGACAAGGAAAUCCAUUCAAACCUUCUGAUAAGGGUAUCUUUGUUACUAGGGUUCAGCCUGACGGCCCCGCCUCCAGCCUGCUCCAGCCCGGAGACAAAAUCCUGCAGGCCAACGGACACAGCUUUGUACACCUGGAACACGAGAAGGCUGUGCUCCUACUGAAGAGUUUCCAGAACACAGUAGACUUAGUUAUCCAACGUGAGCUUACUGUCUAAAUAUUUUUUUAUAAAUAGUAAAUAUGUCUAGCCAGAUCUAAUGUUCAAAAGGAUUUAUACAUAGGAAACCAAUUUUUUGCCAAUUGCUGGACCAAUGGCAAACGGUAGUGCCAAAUGUAUAAUACUCUAUGUUAGUACCAAUCAUCGGGAGAAAAUAUAAGAAUUAACUCUAUAAAUAUAUUGUUCAUGUGGCUCCGUAUUAGUUUUACUUGUCAGCCUCUGGCUGUGCAUUGGUGCGUUUUUUUAACCAAGUUCCUUCUUAAAAGUCAAUUUCAUAUGAUUUCAAAACACAGAAGCACAUACAAAUCCUUUAGGAAUUCUGCUGUCCAUCAGAAACACUGCCUCAAAGUUGUAUAUGCCUUUAUAAAGAUGAAAUAUAUUAACCUGUA